rnacentral:rRNA from 1 species
CCCUUAGAUGUUCUGGGCAGCACGCGCGCUACAAUGGUCUUCGCAAACGGAUGCAUUCUCGAAGGAGAAUGCCAAUCUUGGAAUCUAUGCCUUGGUCGGGACAAUUGCUUGCAAUUUUUCGACUCGAACCAGGAAUUCCUUGUAAUCGUGAUUCAUCACAUCACGAUGAAUACGUCCCUGCCCUUUGUACACACCGCCCGUCGCUCCUACCGAUCGAAGAGUUAGGUGAAUUGUUUUGAUCGAUAAGAUUUGACUAUGGUCAACUCUCGUUGUGAAAUUCUGUGAAUCUGACUGUUUAGAGGAAGGAAAAGUCGUAACA